rnacentral:rRNA from 1 species
UACGUAGGGUGCAAGCGUUGUCCGGAAUUAUUGGGCGUAAAGAGCUCGUAGGCGGUUUGUUGCGUCGGCUGUGAAAUCCCGAGGCUCAACCUCGGGUCUGCAGUCGAUACGAGCAAACUAGAGUGUUGCAGGGGAGACUGGAAUUCCUGGUGUAGCGGUGAAAUGCGCAGAUAUCAGGAGGAACACCGGUGGCGAAGGCGGGUCUCUGGGCCGAAAUUGACGCUGAGGAGCGAAAGCGUGGGGAGCAAACAGG